rnacentral:snRNA from 1 species
GGAUGUGAAGGCGAUCUGGCUGCAACAUAUGUCACCCCAUUGAUCACCAGUGUUGAUUUGGCUGAUCUGGCUGGCGAGGCGGGUGUCCCCUUCCUCCUUCACUGCUCCACGCGCAUCCCUUCCGAAGCUGCACGCUCGGUCGAGGAGGACGAUCAUCCCCGAUAGAGGAGGACCAGUCUUUGGUCAAGGGUGAACGAGUAACUGUGCUCCCCUACUGGAACUUCCAAACAGGCUCUCAAGAAUUAGAGUAAAAGCAGUGAGUCCAUUAACAUGAACUUAAAGAAAAAUAUAAAAUAUGGGCACAUGGUCUCAGGGUCUUCUGA